rnacentral:snoRNA from 2 species
GAUGGCAGUGACGACUUGGUAAUAUUCAAGCUCAACAGACCAAAUCACAUGUCAAUCUCUUUAGAUGAGAUUAACCUGUAUGCCGAAUAUCCCGCUGAACUGAGCCAUC